UACGUAGGGGGCAAGCGUUGUCCGGAUUUAUUGGGCGUAAAGAGCGUGUAGGCGGCUUUACAGGUCCGUUGUGAAAACUCGAGGCUCAACCUCGAGACGCCGGUGGAAACCGUAAAGCUAGAGUCCGGAAGAGGCGAGUGGAAUUCCCGGUGUAGUGGUGAAAUGCGUAGAGAUCGGGAGGAACACCCGUGGCGCAGGCGGCUCGCUGGGCCGGUCCUGACACUGAGACGCGAAGGCGUGGGGAGCGAACGGG
rnacentral:rRNA from 1 species